rnacentral:rRNA from 1 species
UACGUAGGGGGGCGAGCGUUGUCCGGAUUUAUUGGGCGUAAAGAGCGUGUAGGCGGCCAGGUAGGUCUGCUGUGAAAACUCGAGGCUCAACCUCGAGACGUCGGCGGAAACCAUCUGGCUAGAGUCCGGAAGAGGAGAGUGGAAUUCCUGGUGUAGCGGUGAAAUGCGCAGAUAUCAGGAAGAACACCCGUGGCGAAGGCGGCUCUCUGGGGACGGUACUGACGCUGAGACGCGAAAGCGUGGGGGAGCGAACAGG